GUACAGCAUGGUGUAGUGGUUUGAGUGUUGGACUAUAACUCUGGAGACCAGGGUUCAAAUCUCAGUUUGGCCA